rnacentral:rRNA from 1 species
GAUACCCCAGGUCAGGCGGGGCUACCCGCCGAGUUU